CUCCCCCAAGAGUCCACAUCGACGGGGAGGUUUGGCACCUCGAUGUCGGCUCGUCUCAUCCUGGGGCUGAAGCAGGUCCCAAGGGUUGGGCUGUUCGCCCAUUAAAGAGGCACGCGAGCUGGGUUCAGAACGUCGUGAGACAGUUCGGUCCCUAUCCGUCGUGGGCGUCAGAUAUUUGAGAGGAGCUGUUCCUAGUACGAGAGGACCGGAACGGACAAACCACUGGUGCACCAGUUGUUCCGCCAGGAGCAUAGCUGGGUAGCUAAGUUUGGAAGGGAUAAGUGCUGAAGGCAUCUAAGCACGAAGCCCCCCUCAAGAUAAGAUAUCUCACCAGAAAUGGUUAAGGUCCCUGAUAGACGAUCAGGUAGAUAGGCUGGAUGUGGAAGUAUGGCAACAUAUGGAGCUGACCAGUACUAAUCGACCGAGGUCUUGAUCCAAG
rnacentral:rRNA from 1 species